AAGCUAGUAAUCAUACUCUAAAACAAAAGAGGUGUAUUUAUAUUAAUUACACAUUAUUAUACCGAUGAUUUCCUUUCAACUCACUCGGACACUACGAACGAGAAUUAUGGGAUUUAUAAAAUGGGAUUUAGACUUCUAAGUAGAACAGCAUCUGGCGAGUAUUAUAGGUUUCGAAUAAAUAAGAAUGCUGUGAUGCAAGAGAUGACUAGCUCCGCUAAUAAUGGUUACUUUAACAUGAGACAAAGUGAUAAUAACGAACAAUAUAACGGUUAUUGGUAAGGUAUUACGUACAAGUAAGGUAAGUACAACAUUGUUAAAAGGAAGAUAUUGCAUUAGAGAAUUAUGUCCAAUUGUGUUAUUAUAUGAUAAUUAAGGAUAAAUAUAGAUAAAUAAAAAUGGGUGGUAGGAUAUUUUGAAACAGCCCGGAGAGGGACUACGGCUUAUAAGAUGUGAAAUUAAAAAUAGCUCAUAUAAAUGUGUUGCUUAUUGUGAUCAGAAUUCAGUACUAGAGCGUAUUCAGUAUCGAAUAGGCGAUUUGUCAUAAUUGGCAAGAGAUAACAAUAUUAAACAGGAUGUGUAAGAAUGGCUCUGAAAUUAGUGUAUCCGGAAUCAAAGAUAAACUGGACAAAAUGAUUUGGUAUUGGUAUUUGAUAAGGAUUUUUUUGAAAGUAAUAAUUGUAUUUACGUCGACGCUGUCCAAUGAUAGCGAUCAAUAAUUUAUAGUACGUAGAUACUAUGCCAAAAUUGCUGUGAUUAGAUUAGUUAUGAUUACGAAAGUUGUUUACGAUUUAAACAUAGUUUUUGUUUAAUUAAAAUUUGGUUGAUCUUCACUAGAUAUGUACAGUCAGCCUCAAAUGAAAGUAUACGCGGAUGAAGACCAACUUGUUUCCCCAGUUUGUUUUUAACCGCCUUGGAUAUAAAAUUAUAGCAUCCGGUCAAAAUAAUGCCCAAACCAACCAAUUACACGCUGUGCCGUUGCGCCGAGCCCAGGUUUCGCCAACACCGCGCACGCGCAAGACGAAAUGGCGGGAAUCUCCGGCGACGUCAUGCACGCGCCAUUACUCACCCGGCACAUUACCGCUAAGUUAUUGCGUUUUAAGCUUUGUUAUUAUUUCCUCCAAUAGAAGUUAUUGUGAAACGCUUUAUUUUUGUAAAUAAUAAUAAUAUUUAUAAGCAUACAAAAAUAUAUGGGCGAUUUGUUCACUUAUUUAUAUAGGUGACUCUACAUAUAGAUAAUUACAGGUAUAGUAUGUAUGAUAUAUAAAUUGCACACUCAACGGAUAAGAUAACUAACUAAGUAUAUACAAGUGGAAACCCCCCUAUCAGCAUGAGCCCUUGAUAGAAUCGUCAUUAAACGUGAUAAUGAUGACUCGAAAAAGAUAAAUAUUUACAAUAUAGGUUGGUAUAUUUUGUAGUAUUUUUCCGGAUGUAGACGUAUGGAUUUUUUGUAAUGUAACGAAAUAUUACGUUUUGUGGACAAAAUAUAUUUUAUCAACAUCUCACCGUA